rnacentral:rRNA from 1 species
UACGGAGGAUCCAAGCGUUAUCCGGAUUUAUUGGGUUUAAAGGGUGCGUAGGCGGCUUAUUAAGUCAGAGGUGAAAGACGACAGCUCAACUGUCGCAGUGCCUUUGAUACUGAUGAGCUUGAAUACAGAUGAAGUAGGCGGAAUGUGGCAAGUAGCGGUGAAAUGCAUAGAUAUGCCACAGAACACCGAUUGCGUAGGCAGCUUACUAAGUUGAUAUUGACGCUGAGGCACGAAAGCGUGGGGAUCAAACAGG